rnacentral:tRNA from 1 species
GCGGAGUAGAGCAGCUGGCAGCUCGUCGGGCUCAUAACCCGGAGGUCACAGGUUCGAAUCCUGUCUUCCGCA